GGGGACGCGUGGUCUCGACAGUGAGGUGAUCACGAGACUGCAGGUCGAGGUGCCAUCUACCCUCGUUAAUCCGGUGGCAACAAAAGUAACUGGCGAGCCAAAGCUUGCCCUCGCUGCCUAAUAAGUAGCGACGUUCCUGCGGAUCCAACCCCGGGGGGUCCGUUAGGAGCGACGAAAACCUGGGGUGCUGCAGUCGCGACGCCGGUAGCGACCGCCUAAGACCUCCGGCUGGCCGCCCUGAAGCGAGUGUCGACGGGUUACUCAGGCGGCGAGAAAAACCACCCAGCGGCUAAACCUGUAGACGUCAAAGCGAAAACCUUUCUGGACGGGGAGUUCGACUCUCCCCCGUCUCCACCA
rnacentral:tmRNA from 1 species